rnacentral:rRNA from 1 species
UACGAAGGGUGCAAGCGUUAAUCGGAAUUACUGGGCGUAAAGCGUGCGUAGGUGGUUUGUUAAGUCUGAUGUGAAAGCCCUGGGCUCAACCUGGGAACGGCAUUGGAAACUGGCUUACUAGAGUGCGGUAGAGGGGUGUGGAAUUCCCGGUGUAGCAGUGAAAUGCGUAGAUAUCGGGAGGAACAUCUGUGGCGAAGGCGACACCCUGGACCAGCACUGACACUGAGGCACGAAAGCGUGGGGAGCAAACAGG